UGGUUUUAUAUUUUAUGGGGAGUGAGAACAGUUGAAUAUGUAAAUUUAUGUGGAAGAAAGGGAGCGGUUAUUAUUGGGUAGUUAUGAUAUGAUUUUUUGUUUUAUUAUUAUUAUUUUUUGGUAAUUUUGCAACUUGAGAAGGGUAAUUUGGGGAUAGUGAAAUUUAUCACCCACAAGGCCCUUUCACUUUAUAUAUAGGAUUUUGGUAAUUUUGCAACUUGAGAAGGGUAAUUUGGGGAUAGUGAAAUUUAUCACCCAAAAUACCCUUUCACUUUAUAUAUAGGAUUCUUUUUACAAUUUUUUUUUAAAAAAGUACUCCUAGUUUCCUCGGUUCCUCCUAAUCAAACUUACCACAAAUUUUCACUGAACAACCUCAAUUUUUCUCUUUCCUUUGAAAAACCUUUGAAAUUCCUCAAUUUUUCAUAGAGCAACCUGCGCUCUCCGCUUAUACAGUCAUGCAUUUCGGAAUUUUCCUAAUUGCCGGAUGAUGAAGAGGAAUUGCAAGCCCCAUUUUUCUGGAGGAUAUCGGAGGGUGGUUGUUGCAAUUAAAGAACAUCUAUUAGAGGGCGUAGUUUUUCAUUUUCAUUCCCCCAAUUAAGGCUGCGAAUGCUGAUGGAAAAUCAAGUCAAGUAGGAAAGGCAGUUGCUCUAAUAAAAGGGACUCUCCGGAGGAAGGAAAAACGAGCAAGUAUGGAUCGAGCAAAUCAGAGCUAGUCUUGGCCUUUCCGAUUUAAUGAGGACACCUGUGGUACUUGUAUAAUUUUGCACCCUUCCCUAACUUAAAAUUAAUUCUUACAAGUAUAACAUGUUACUUACAGUGAAAAUGGCAUGCAAAUCUCAUCUACAUGCUGGCAAUAGUCCUAUUGGAAAUUUUGUCUGACAUUGAGUUAGGUUUAUAAGCUAAACUGCUUUGGUAUCUUUUUUCUUACA